rfam:Ictidomys tridecemlineatus contig132188, whole genome shotgun sequence.
GUGGCUGUGGCUCAGUGGUAGAGCACUUGUCUUGCACGUGCAUGACCCUGGGUUUGAUCCUCAGCACCACA